AAGUCUGACGGAAGCACGCCGCGUGAGUGAUGAAGGUUUUCGGAUCGUAAAACUCUGUUGUUAGGGAAGAACAAGUACCGUUCGAAUAGGGCGGUACCUUGACGGUACCUAACCAGAAAGCCACGGCUAACUACGUGCCAGCAGCCGCGGUAAUACGUAGGUGGCAAGCGUUGUCCGGAAUUAUUGGGCGUAAAGCGCGCGCAGGCGGUUUCUUAAGUCUGAUGUGAAAGCCCCCGGCUCAACCGGGGAGGGUCAUUGGAAACUGGGGAACUUGAGUGCAGAAGAGGAGAGUGGAAUUCCACGUGUAGCGGUGAAAUGCGUAGAGAUGUGGAGGAACACCAGUGGCGAAGGCGACUCUCUGGUCUGUAACUGACGCUGAGGCGCGAAAGCGUGGGGAGCGAACAGGAUUAGAUACCCUGGUAGUCCACGCCGUAAACGAUGAGUGCUAAGUGUUAGAGGGUUUCCGCCCUUUAGUGCUGCAGCAAACGCAUUAAGCACUCCGCCUGGGGAGUACGGUCGCAAGACUGAAACUCAAAGGAAUUGACGGGGGCCCGCACAAGCGGUGGAGCAUGUGGUUUAAUUCGAAGCAACGCGAAGAACCUUACCAGGUCUUGACAUCCUCUGACAACCCUAGAGAUAGGGCUUCCCCUUCGGGGGCAGAGUGACAGGUGGUGCAUGGUUGUCGUCAGCUCGUGUCGUGAGAUGUUGGGUUAAGUCCCGCAACGAGCGCAACCCUUGAUCUUAGUUGCCAGCAUUCAGUUGGGCACUCUAAGGUGACUGCCGGUGACAAACCGGAGGAAGGUGGGGAUGACGUCAAAUCAUCAUGCCCCUUAUGACCUGGGCUACACACGUGCUACAAUGGGCAGAACAAAGGGCAGCGAAGCCGCGAGGCUAAGCCAAUCCCACAAAUCUGUUCUCAGUUCGGAUCGCAGUCUGCAACUCGACUGCGUGAAGCUGGAAUCGCUAGUAAUCGCGGAUCAGCAUG
rnacentral:rRNA from 1 species